CCUACGGGUGGCUGCAGUGAGGAAUAUUGGUCAAUGGGCGCUAGCCUGAACCAGCCAAGGAGCGUGAAGGAUGACUGCCCUAUGGGGUGUAAACUUCUUUUAUAUGGGAAUAAAGUGCAGUAUGUAGACUGCUUGGCAUGUACCUUAUGAAUAAGAAUCGACUAACACCGUGCCAGCAGCCGCGGUAAUACGGAGGAUCCGAGCGUUAGACGGAUUUAGUGGGUUUAAAGGGAGCGAAGGCGGGCUGUUAAGGCAGUUGUGAAAGUUUGCGGCUCAACCGUAAAAUUGAAGUUGAUACUGGCAUCCUUGAGUACAGUAGAGGUAGGCGCAAUUCGUCGUGUA
rnacentral:rRNA from 1 species